GAGUAAUGUAUAGGAAUCUACCUAGUAGUACGGAAUAAUUGUUGGAAACGGCAACUAAUACCGUAUACACCCUACGGGGGAAAAAUUUAUUGCUAUUAGAUGAGCCUAUAUUAGAUUAGUUAGUUGGUGAGGUAAAGGCUUACCAAGACAAUGAUCUAUAGCUGAUCUGAGAGGAUGAUCAGCCACACUGGAACUGAGAUACGGUCCAGACUCCUACGGGAGGCAGCAGUGGGGAAUAUUGGACAAUGGGCGAAAGCCUGAUCCAGCCAUGCCGCAUGAGUGAAGAAGGCCUUCGGGUUGUAAAGCUCUUUUAGUGAGGAAGAUAAUGACGGUACUCACAGAAGAAGUCCUGGCUAACUCCGUGCCAGCAGCCGCGGUAAUACGGAGAGGGCUAGCGUUAUUCGGAAUCAUUGGGCGUAAAGGGCGCGUAGGCGGGUUAGUAAGUUAAAAGUGAAAUCCCAAGGCUCAACCUUGGAACUGCUUUUAAAACUGCUAGUCUAGAGAUUGGAAGAGGAUAGAGGAAUUCCUAGUGUAGAGAUGAAAUUCGUAAAUAUUANGAGGAACACCAGUGGCGAAGGCGUCUAUCUGGUUCAAAUCUGACGCUGANGCGCGAA
rnacentral:rRNA from 2 species